UACGUAGGGGGCAAGCGUUGUCCGGAUUUAUUGGGCGUAAAGCGCGCGUAGGCGGCCCUGUAAGUCCGCUGUGAAAGUCAAAGGCUCAACCUUUGAAAGCCGGUGGAUACUGCAGGGCUAGAGUCCGGAAGAGGCGAGUGGAAUUCCUGGUGUAGCGGUGGAAUGCGCAGAUAUCAGGAAGAACACCCGUGGCGAAGGCGGCUCUCUGGGACGGUACUGACGCUGAGACGCGAAAGCGUGGGGAGCGAACAGG
rnacentral:rRNA from 1 species